rnacentral:rRNA from 1 species
AUUGAACGCUGGCGGCAGGCCUAACACAUGCAAGUCGAACGAGGGGCGACCGGGUGGGUAAGGUUGGGGAAACUGCCGGUUGGAGGGGGUAAACAAUUGGAACCGGAGCUAAAACCCCAUACAAUCGGUGUGGCCAAAAUGGGAUUGGCUAGUAGGUGGGGUAAAGGCUCACCUAGGCGACGAUCCCUAGCUGGUCUGAGAGGAUGACCAGCCACACUGGAACUGAGACACGGUCCAGACUCCUACGGGAGGCAGCAGUGGGGAAUAUUGCACAAUGGGCGCAAGCCUGAUGCAGCCAUGCCGCGUGUAUGAAGAAGGCCUUCGGGUUGUAAAGUACUUUCAGCGGGGAGGCGUUACCCGCAGAAGAAGCACCGGCUAACUCCGUGCCAGCAGCCGCGGUAAUUC